GAUGAACGCUAGCUACAGGCUUAACACAUGCAAGUCGAGGGACGGGCGCGCGGGGGAGUAACACGUAUCCAACCUGCCCUUUACUCGGGGAUAGCCUUUCGAAAGAAAGAUUAAUACCCGAUAUAAAGGAUGGGGAUGCGUUCGAUUAGGUUGUUGGUGAGGGAACGGCACACCAAGCCUUCGAUGGAUAGGGGUUCGGAUAGGAAGGCCCACCGGAAUGGAACUGCGGCCCGGACCCAACCCCGAGGGGGGGCUGCAGUAAGGAAUAUUAGUCAAUGGGCGCUAGCCUGACCCAGCCAAGUAUCGUGAAGGAUGAUGGCUUAUGGGUCGUAAAUUACUUUUAUAUAAGAAUAGGUAUCAUAUGAAUAAGGACCGGCUAACUCCGUGCCAGCAGCCGCGGUAAUAC
rnacentral:rRNA from 1 species